rnacentral:rRNA from 1 species
AACGAACGCUGGCGGCAGGCCUAACACAUGCAAGUCGAGCGGACCUUUCGGGGUCAGCGGCGGACGGGUGAGUAACGCGUGGGAAUAUGCCCUUCUCUACGGAAUAGUCCUGGGAAACUGGGGGUAAUACCGUAUACGCCCUUUGGGGGAAAGAUUUAUCGGGGAAGGAUUAGCCCGCGUUGGAUUAGGUAGUUGGUGGGGUAAUGGCCUACCAAGCCGACGAUCCAUAGCUGGUUUGAGAGGAUGAUCAGCCACACUGGGACUGAGACACGGCCCAGACUCCUACGGGAGGCAGCAGUGGGGAAUAUUAGACAAUGGGCGCAACCCUGAUCUAGCCAUGCCGCGUGAGUGAUGAAGGCCUUAGGGUUGUAAAGCUCUUUCAGCUGGGAAGAUAAUGACGGUACCAGCAGAAGAAGCCCCGGCUAACUCCGUG